rnacentral:rRNA from 1 species
GAUGAACGCUAGCUACAGGCUUAACACAUGCAAGUCGAGGGACCGGCGCACGGGUGAGUAACACGUAUCCAACCUGCCCUUUACUCGGGGAUAGCCUUUAGAAAGAAAGAUUAAUACCCGUUAUAAAGGAUGGGGAUGCGUAUCAUUAGGUUGUGGGUGAGGGAACGGCUGACCAAGCCUUCGAUGUAUAGGGGUUCUGAGAGGAAGGUCCCCCGCAUUGGGACUCAGUCACGUGCCAAACGCCUGCGUGAGGCAGCAGUGAUGAAUAUUUGUCAAAGGGCCUUAGGCUGCACCGGCCAGGUAGCGAUAAGGAUGAAGGCUUGUGGGUCGUAGACUUCUUUUAUAUAAGAAUGUGUAUUAUAUAAAUAAGGAUCGGCUAACUCCGUGCCAGCGGCCGCGUAAUAC